UUAACUAAAAUUUUUAUGAAGUCGGAUCGUUUGCCUGCGUUUGCCACUAGGGGCGCUGUUCUAACUGUAUACAAAUUUGAGUUA
rnacentral:pre_miRNA from 1 species